rnacentral:rRNA from 1 species
GAUGAACGCUGGCGGCGUGCCUAAUACAUGCAAGUCGAGCGAAUGGAUUAAGAGCUUGCUCUUAUGAAGUUAGCGGCGGACGGGUGAGUAACACGUGGGUAACCUGCCCAUAAGACUGGGAUAACUCCGGGAAACCGGGGCUAAUACCGGAUAACAUUUUGAACCGACUGGUUCGAAAUUGAAAGGCGGCUUCGGCUGUCACUUAUGGAUGGACCCGCGUCGCAUUAGCUAGUUGGUGAGGUAACUGCGCACCAAGGCAACGAUGCGUAGCCGACCUGAGAGGGUGAUCGGCCACACUGGGACUGAGACACGGCCCAGACUCCUACGGGAGGCAGCAGUAGGGAAUCUUCCGCAAUGGACGAAAGUCUGACGGAGCAACGCCGCGUGAGUGAUGAAGGCUUUCGGGUCGUAAAACUCUGUUGUUAGGGAAGAACAAGUGCUAGUUGAAUAAGCUGGCACCUUGACGGUACCUAACCAGAAAGCCACGGCUAACUACGUGCCAGCAGCCGCAGUAA